rnacentral:rRNA from 1 species
UACGUAGGGUGCAAGCGUUGCCCGGAUUUAUUGGGCGUAAAGGGCGCGUAGGCGGUUUGGUAAGUCGGGUGUGAAAUCUCCGUGCUCAACACGGAGGGGCCACCCGAUACUGCCAUGACUUGAGUCCGGUAGAGGAGAGUGGAAUUCCCGGUGUAGUGGUGAAAUGCGUAGAUAUCGGGAGGAACACCAGUGGCGAAGGCGACUACCUGGCCUGUUCUUGACGCUGAGGCGCGAAAGCUAGGGGAGCAAACGGG